AGCUUGCUCCCGGAUGUUAGCGGCGGACGGGUGAGUAACACGUGGGUAACCUGCCUGUAAGACUGGGAUAACUCCGGGAAACCGGAGCUAAUACCGGAUAGUUCCUUGAACCGCAUGGUUCAAGGAUGAAAGACGGUUUCGGCUGUCACUUACAGAUGGACCCGCGGCGCAUUAGCUAGUUGGUGGGGUAAUGGCUCACCAAGGCGACGAUGCGUAGCCGACCUGAGAGGGUGAUCGGCCACACUGGGACUGAGACACGGCCCAGACUCCUACGGGAGGCAGCAGUAGGGAAUCUUCCGCAAUGGACGAAAGUCUGACGGAGCAACGCCGCGUGAGUGAUGAAGGUUUUCGGAUCGUAAAGCUCUGUUGUUAGGGAAGAACAAGUGCGAGAGUAACUGCUCGCACCUUGACGGUACCUAACCAGAAAGCCACGGCUAACUACGUGCCAGCAGCCGCGGUAAUACGUAGGUGGCAAGCGUUGUCCGGAAUUAUUGGGCGUAAAGGGCUCGCAGGCGGUUUCUUAAGUCUGAUGUGAAAGCCCCCGGCUCAACCGGGGAGGGUCAUUGGAAACUGGGAAACUUGAGUGCAGAAGAGGAGAGUGGAAUUCCACGUGUAGCGGUGAAAUGCGUAGAGAUGUGGAGGAACACCAGUGGCGAAGGCGACUCUCUGGUCUGUAACUGACGCUGAGGAGCGAAAGCGUGGGGAGCGAACAGGAUUAGAUACCCUGGUAGUCCACGCCGUAAACGAUGAGUGCUAAGUGUUAGGGGGUUUCCGCCCCUUAGUGCUGCAGCUAACGCAUUAAAGCAACUUCCGCCUUGG
rnacentral:rRNA from 1 species